rnacentral:rRNA from 1 species
GACGAACGCUGGCGGCGUGCUUAACACAUGCAAGUCGAACGCUGAAGCUCAGCUUUUGUUGGGUGGAUGAGUGGCGAACGGGUGAGUAACACGUGAGUAACCUGCCUCCUUCUUUGGGAUAACGCCCGGAAACGGGUGCUAAUACUGGAUAUUCACUGGUCUUCGCAUGGGGGUUGGUGGAAAGGGUUUUUCUGGUGGGGGAUGGGCUCGCGGCCUAUCAGCUUGUUGGUGGGGUGAUGGCCUACCAAGGCUUUGACGGGUAGCCGGCCUGAGAGGGUGACCGGUCACAUUGGGACUGAGAUACGGCCCAGACUCCGACGGGGGGCAGCAGUGGGGAAUAUUGCACAAUGGGCGCAAGCCUGAUGCAGCGACGCCGCGUGAGGGAUGGAGGCCUUCGGGUUGUGAACCUCUUUCGCUCAUGGUCAAGCCGCAACAAUGGUUGUGGUGAGGGUAGUGGGUAAAGAAGCGCCGGCUAACUACGUG